AGUCUCUAGCCUGUGGACCUUCCCUUGUUUAUGGAUGGGGUCUUUGGAGCACUCUGGAGGGCAGCCCUGAACUAAACUGAUUUCAGCCGGACCUAAAAUAGAUAACCUAAAAACAAGCACAAGUGAAGAUUCCUGCACAUGAACUAUCACAACUUUGCCUGGAACUGUUGAAGUUGGAGCAGGAGCGUGAACUACUGAGGAAUAUUGACAGAGCUCUCACGGAAGAAAAUAUUUUCUCAAGGACUGGCAGAAAAUCUCUGGCAUAGGACAACAAGAAAAUAGCAAACUAGCAAAGCCACUGGAUCAAUUAAAGCUGUGUUCUUACUGGGCCAGCUAUGAUGCUGAAUUUGCCAAGUCUUUGAAGGUCUUCUACCAAAGCAUGAACGAAGUGAAGGGGCAGUUCCUGCAGCUGAGACAGUAAG